GCUCAUCAACCGUUCUUGACCAGUUGAUAACCCGUCAGUCUAUCACUCUCCAUAUUACUAGGGAGACCACAGCCCAUAGCUUGAUUCUCCCAAUCAUUCAUACAAACAUACAUAAUCAUCAUAGUUACAUACUUAUACUUAACCUUCCCAUACAUAAUAUUUCAUAGUUAAACAUUAUCACCAUACAUAUCAAUCAAUAAUCAUCAAAUCAUAUCAUCACAUAAUCUUAUCCUAUGCAAUAAGAUCUAGCCUACAUAUCAUGAGUUAGGAAGCAUAACAAAAGAAAAUGAUACCAUGCUUCGCAAAUACCACCCUCACCUUAGUCUAGUCAAAUAUGACAACACACUUCUCCUUCUUU